GGAGACAGAAUCUUGUGUCCUGGAGAAGAGUAAGGAAGGCAGAGUGGGAGAAAAGAUAACUCCUGAUAUACGCACAUUAGCAGCUUCCAGCACCAUGAAAGCUAGCCAAUGGGGAUGAAGAUUCAAGCAACAGAAUCACAAGAGAAACAGAGGACAGAGACUCCAGAGACCCCACUGCUCACUCAGUGUAGAGGCCAAGAAGACCCACACUCAGUAUCAUCUAAAGAGGUUCAGGUAAGCGAUCCUUGCUUUUCGUUGAUUCUCCCAUCUUUUCUACAAAACUAGAGCCUGGUUAAUCUCAGAACAGUAAACCUCUCUUUCAGUUUCCACUUUAAGCCUCCUCAGGAUCCUCCAUGGCCCCCUGGAGCCAGAUCCAUUGCUUUCAGGUGGCCUGGAUCACAAGGCCAGUAAGGAAGAACCUGUUUGCCGUGUCUAUCCUAUGGUUUUCUCUCAGGAACAGACUCCGCCCUAGCAAGAUGUGGAGCAUACCACACUCUUUCCAGGGGCUCCCAGUACCCCCUUUCUAACUAAUCCCCUCCCAUUUUUUUGUGUGUGUUGGGAGGAGGUUUUUUGAGACAGGGUUUCUCUG